rnacentral:rRNA from 1 species
GACGAACGCUGGCGGCGUGCUUAACACAUGCAAGUCGAACGAAGUGGCGAACGGGUGAGUAACGCGUAAUCAACCUGCCCUUAAGAGGGGGACAACAGUGGGAAACGACUGCUAAUACCGCAUACUGAAGGUGGGGAUUGCGUCUGAUUAGGUAGUUGGAGGGGUAACGGCCCACCGAGGCGAUGAGCAGUAGCAGGGCUGGGAGGGUGAACGGCCACCUAGGGACUUGGACACGGCCCAUACGCCUUCGGGAGGCAGCAGUGGGGAAUCUUCCGCAAUUGACGAAAGUCUGACGGAGCAACGCCGCGUGAGUGAUGACGGCCUUCGGGUUGUAAAGCUCUGUUAAUCGGGACGCGGUACCGGAAUAGAAAGCCACGGCUAACUACGUGCCAGCCGCCGCGGUAAUAC